rnacentral:rRNA from 1 species
GACGAACGCUGGCGGCGUGCUUAACACAUGCAAGUCGAACGGUAAGGCCCUUCGGGGUACACGAGUGGCGAACGGGUGAGUAACACGUGGGUGAUCUGCCCUGCACUUCGGGAUAAGCCUGGGAAACUGGGUCUAAUACCGGAUAGGACUCCGGACUGCAUGGUCUGGGGUGGAAAGCUUUUGCGGUGUGGGAUGGGCCCGCGGCCUAUCAGCUUGUUGGGGGGGUGAUGGCCUACCAAGGCGACGACGGGUAGCCGGCCUGAGAGAGUGACCGGCCACACUGGGACUGAGAUACGGCCCAGACUCCUACGGGAGGCAGCAGUGGGGAAUAUUGCACAAUGGGCGCAAGCCUGAUGCAGCGACGCCGCGUGAGGGAUGACGGCCUUCGGGUUGUAAACCUCUUUCAGCAUCGACGAAGCGAAAGUGACGGUAGGUGCAGAAGAAGGACCGGCCAACUACGUGCCAGCCGCCGCAGUAA